rnacentral:rRNA from 1 species
GGAAAGGCGCGCGAUACAGGGUGACAGCCCCGUACACAAAAAUGCACAUGCUGUGAGCUCGAUGAGUAGGGCGGGACACGUGGUAUCCUGUCUGAAUAUGGGGGGACCAUCCUCCAAGGCUAAAUACUCCUGACUGACCGAUAGUGAACCAGUACCGUGAGGGAAAGGCGAAAAGAACCCCGGCGAGGGGAGUGAAAAAGAACCUGAAACCGUGUACGUACAAGCAGUGGGAGCACGCUUAGGCGUGUGACUGCGUACCUUUUGUAUAAUGGGUCAGCGACUUAUAUUCUGUAGCAAGGUUAACCGAAUAGGGGAGCCGAAGGGAAACCGAGUCUUAACUGGGCGUUAAGUUGCAGGGUAUAGACCCGAAACCCGGUGAUCUAGCCAUGGGCAGGUUGAAGGUUGGGUAACACUAACUGGAGGACCGAACCGACUAAUGUUGAAAAAUUAGCGGAUGACUUGUGGCUGGGGGUGAAAGGCCAAUCAAACCGGGAGAUAGCUGGUUCUCCCCGAAAGCUAUUUAGGUAGCGCCUCGUGAAUUCAUCUCCGGGGGUAGAGCACUGUUUCGGCAAGGGGGUCAUCCCGACUUACCAACCCGAUGCAAACUGCGAAUACCGGAGAAUGUUAUCACGGGAGACACACGGCGGGUGCUAACGUCCGUCGUGAAGAGGGAAAUAACCCAGACCGCCAGCUAAGGUCCCAAAGUCAUGGUUAAGUGGGAAACGAUGUGGGAAGGCCCAGACAGCCAGGAUGUUGGCUUAGAAGCAGCCAUCAUUUAAAGAAAGCGUAAUAGCUCACUGGUCGAGUCGGCCUGCGCGGAAGAUGUAACGGGGCUAAACCAUGCACCGAAGCUGCGGCAGCGACGCUUAUGCGUUGUUGGGUAGGGGAGCGUUCUGUAAGCCUG